rnacentral:rRNA from 1 species
UAAGGAAUUUUCGGCAAUGGGGGGAAACCCUGACCGAGCAACGCCGCGUGAGCGAUGAAGGCCUUCGGGUCGUAAAGCUCUGUUGCGAAGGAAGAACACCGCCAUCAGGAAAUGGAUGGCGGCUGACGGUACUUCGUCAGAAAGUCACGGCUUACUACGUGCCAGCAGCCGCGGUAAUACGUAGGUGGCAAGCGUUAUCCGGAUUUAUUGGGCGUAAAGGGUGCGCAGGCGGCCUGCCAAGUUCGAGGUGAAAGCGUUGGGCUCAACCCAAUACAGCUUCGAAUACUGGCAGGCUCGAGUGCAGGAGAGGAUGUCGGAAAUUCCAUGUGUAGCGGUAAAAUGCGUAGAUAUAUGGAGGAACACCAGCGGC